GGGCGAUUAGCUCAGUUGGUAGAGCGUCACGUUUACACCGUGAGGGUCGGCAGUUCGAGUCUGUCAUCGCCCACCA
rnacentral:tRNA from 1 species